CUGCAACUCGACUCCAUGAAGCUGGAUUCGCUAGUAAUCGCGCAUCAGCCAUGGCGCGGUGAAUACGUUCCCGGGCCUUGUACACACCGCCCGUCAAGCCAUGGGAGUCGGGAGUGCCUGAAGUUCGUGACCGUCACAGGAGCGACCUAAGGCAAGACCGAUGACUGGGGCUAAGUCGUAACAAGGUAGC
rnacentral:rRNA from 1 species